rfam:Oceanobacillus iheyensis HTE831 DNA, complete genome.
UAACCCAUUCAGCAAUGGAUGGCUGAACGGUCAGAAGUCAGCAGAAGUCAUAGUACCCUGCAUACUCGAGAAUGUAAGGGGAAGGAC